AAUAGAAUAUGUAUUUCGGCUACGGGCGAUAUUCUAGCAGAGACUUCAGCAGCUCCCCCUCGCUGCCGGCGGUCUUCAUCCACCAGGCCGUCAGCCACAACGGGACGACCACCACGUCUUCCGGUAUUCUUCCAACUCCAACCACGUGGCAGCGCGCAGCCACACACGAGUAGGCGCAGCCAACUCCUCCAGACCUCUCCGGCUGGGCGCCGACGAGCUUCUCUUUCCGCUCUCCCGACUCUUCCUUCACAUUUAGGAAGAAACAAGCUUCUGCUUCUCUCAGAAACCUAGCUUCUGCUUUAGUGCUUCUCCAUUUUGUUUUGCGAAGCGUGGCUGUCCUUGGUUGUCUGCUCAAGGAUUUUCUGUGCCAACUGCUUACUAGAACGAUAGAAGUAGAAGUCCUCUCCUCCGAUAUCUUGAUUUCAACUCAAGGAAAAGCAGAAAAGAAAAUCACGGGCUACCUUUUGGGAGAGCAAUGGAGAUCGACAGGGAAGAUGGACGUACACCGAAUCAGCUGAGACCACUUGCUUGUUCUCGCAACAUACUGCACCGUGCUCAUGGGUCAGCUAGUUGGACACAAGGAGACACAAAAGUGCUUGCUGCUGUUUAUGGACCUAAAGCUGGAACAAAGAAGAAUGAGAA